AAAAGAACUUGGGUUUAGGCUCACCGUUGAAGAUUUCCCCUUCCUCGAGCGACUCGCGUCUCAGAGUUCACGACUGCACCUGGCCGAAUCACGAUUCACGCGACUCACCGCCGUGCAUCGGCUGUCCACCGCCGCGUCUGAGCGACGGCGACACCAUGUCUUACCGUCCCCUCACCCUGGUUCUGACGAUUCAAGCACCGAUCCCGAUCUCGCUUGCUCUGAGCAAUUGCUAUUCUCGUGCUGCAACGAUGAAUCGGAAUUUUGCUCCAGCCAGGAAACUUCGUUCUCUGACCUUCACUUCGAGAUUUUCUGCGAAUGCUCAUGGAUUACACUUCACCAUGUUCAUCGAUUUUGGAAGGUAAUGUGAGGGUAGAGAACUGUUGGAUCAAAUAUUGGCCUAGAUGUGGGAACCACCUGAAUCUAAUGGGAUGCUUUCAAAAACGCUAGCAUGAACAAGAGCUGUAAACAGAAUCAUGGAACUCCCGCAAGAUAGUAAGGCAGUAGCCAAGCACACAGAUAGUCCCAAUGUAAGGAUGGGUUUUCUAUACUUCAUUUUCCAUGUUAAACUAUAGAUAUGGCUCAAGAGCGUUUAUGUUUAUAGCUAAGGGCUAUGUACUAUUAUUAUCACCAGCUCGCUCUUUUGGCAUUGUGCAUGAAUGUAGUUCCCUUCUUAAUUAUCAUCGAUGCAUUAUCUGUUUUUGUAUUUCUGCACUACUACUACUACUGCAGCUAAGUACUUUCUGCUCACCAUGACUUUUUUGUUAUGUGGGUGUAGUGUUUCAAAGCAGUGUUUAACAGCUUUAGUGUAUGUUGAUUUAGGAUUGUAAGAAUGUUGUCAAGAUCAUUUUGAGGGUAAACAUUUUCUUUUUCAUUUUGAGGUUGUAGUGUGGUCUUGAUUAUGCUUAUUGCUUAUGGUCUAUUAUGCUUUGGUUGGGUCUACAAUUGCAUAUUAGUUAUGAAGUCAGUGAGAUAUUACCUUAUGCAACAGAUUCAAUGUGUAGACAUCAUAUCCAAAUGAAGCACUCCCAGGUCUUUUCUUAUUUAGUUUUGAAUGCAUGUAAUGGUGUGUAUGAGCUUGGAAAGCAUGUAUAUAUUUUUAGAAGGAUAAAGCAUGCAUUGGAAAUAGGUAAUGGUUAACUAAACUGAUCUGCGUACAUAUGAUGGAAUUUAAUGAAUAAGAAUGAUCUUCUAUUGCAUUCAGCUUGCAUCACAUGACACUUCUUAGUAAUUCCUUACUGCAUUGUUUUCCUCCCACUAUAUCGUGUUUCUUUCCUGGUAGGUAAUGGUUAACUAAAUCUUCUCAACAUGCAGAACAUGGUAGCAUUCUUCUAUUGUGUAUAGGAGGGGAGACAUAUAACAUAUUUGGUUCCAUUGAUAAAGAUCAAUGUUGUAUAAGACUUCUGAUUGCAUUUUUGCUCAUUGCAGCGGCUUUUCUUGGUGAUCAGAGACAAUAUGAUGUGACUCUAAUCACUCAUUUUCUUUUUUCAAUUUUUUCUCUUCUCUUUUAAUCUCUCUUCAAGUGUACUGUUUGUGUUUAUUUGGGUUUGGAGAAUGUGAUUUGAUGUGUGUUUGUGCAGAUUGUGGGAUGGAGAAUAUCCUGAAGCCAGGUGACAUUAUAAAGGGUCGUGACUGCGGUUUUUUACUAGAAGCGCACUCGUUGCAAUAAGUUUCACUCUACUAUUCAAUUCGUUAGCGCACUCGUCGCAGUAAGUUUCACUUUACUAUUCAAUUCAUUCACAUGUUUUAGAACUUCGCUGUUUAUUAAGUGGAAGCUGGAAAAAAGGUAAGAUCACAUUCACAUCCUACUUAUUACAAGCUAGCUUCUCUCCCCUACCACUAGAAAUGUCAACAUCAAAUGCUUAAGUGUAUGACCUAGUACAAGCAUAAAACAUAGAUAAACAUAGUGUUAUUUUGACACUCACAAUGGCUUGCUUAUUAUUAAGUGGAAGGUUCAUGUUUGACGGGGUAAGUGUGUAAUAAAAUUUGCUCCAGGUUACUUGCCUGCAGUUUAUAGCAUCAAAAACAAAGCAGGUCUCGUCAUAGCCGAUGAGAUUCAGUCAGGGUUUGGUCGUCUUGGUAGUCACUUUUUGGGUUUUGAGGUACAUGGAAUUGUCCUGGAUAUUGCAACAGUAGCAAAGAUAGCAUUUUAUCUAAGCUGCAUAUGUGAUUAUUUAAUAAAUGCUACUUAGCUAGGUUGACUAUGCAUGAACUAGAAAUAAUUGCAUUUGUAAUGCAAUUGAAGGUUACUUCACCCAUUCAAUGGGAAACAACAGUGAAGACUCUUCUCAACAAGGGGCACAAGAAAGGCUAUGAACUGGGACCUAGAAAGUUAUACAAUACAUUUGUUAGGGAAUGUGGUUUCACACUACUGAACUAGCCGAAGUGAGGAAGAACGACUUAACAAAAGUUUCCAGGCUGACUACGAGAGAUAGAGCUCUAGCACAACACAACGAUUUAUCAGCAAUUGUAAGAAGUAGAACGCGGGUUACUGGGUAAGUGUUUGUGAACUGUUGUAGUUAGUCUAUUUACUCCCUAUAAACAGGCACUACAACAUUUUUCGCCUUCCACUGCGGAUGGAAAACCGCGGCGCAAUGUGAAAAAACCGUGGCUAAAAGCUUAUACCACGGUUCUGCCACGGUUUUCUUGUCGCGGGUUAUGUGGCCGUGGCCAAGUUCAAGUGCCACGGUUUGGCCAAGUUGGCAAUAGCUUUUAGCCACGGUUGUUAUAGAAGCUUAAAACCACAGUUUGUUUUAUGCCACGGUUUUAGCCACUGUUUUG